rnacentral:rRNA from 1 species
UACGUAGGGUGCGAGCGUUGUCCGGAAUUACUGGGCGUAAAGCGUGCGUAGGGGUUUUGUUAAGUCUGUUGUGAAAGCCCCGGGCUCAACCUGGGAAUGGCAAUGGAUACUGGCAAGCUAGAGUGCGGUAGAGGGUAGUGGAAUUCCCGGUGUAGCGGUGAAAUGCGUAGAGAUCGGGAGGAACACCAGUGGCGAAGGCGGCUACCUGGACCAGCACUGACACUGAGGCACGAAAGCGUGGGGAGCAAACAGG